rnacentral:rRNA from 1 species
AACAGGAAACAGCUUGCUGUUUCGCUGACGAGUGGCGGACGGGUGAGUAAUGUCUGGGAAACUGCCUGAUGGAGGGGGAUAACUACUGGAAACGGUAGCUAAUACCGCAUAACGUCGCAAGACCAAAGAGGGGGACCCUCGGGCCUCUUGCCAUCGGAUGUGCCCAGAUGGGAUUAGCUUGUUGGUGGGGUAACGGCUCACCAAGGCGACGAUCCCUAGCUGGUCUGAGAGGAUGACCCAGCCACACUGGAACUGAGACACGGUCCAGACUCCUACGGGAGGCAGCAGUGGGGAAUAUUGCACAAUGGGCGCAAGCCUGAUGCAGCCAUGCCGCGUGUAUGAAGAAGGCCUUCGGGUUGUAAAGUACUUUCAGCGGGGAGGAAGGGAGUAAAGUUAAUACCUUUGCUCAUUGACGUUACCCGCAGAAGAAGCACCGGCUAACUCCGUGCCAGCAGCCGCGGUAAUACGGAGGGUGCAAGCGUUAAUCGGAAUUACUGGGCGUAAAGCGCACGCAGGCGGUUUGUUAAGUCAGAUGUGAAAUCCCCGGGCUCAACCUGGGAACUGCAUCUGAUACUGGCAAGCUUGAGUCUCGUAGAGGGGGGUAGAAUUCCAGGUGUAGCGGUGAAAUGCGUAGAGAUCUGGAGGAAUACCGGUGGCGAAGGCGGCCCCCUGGACGAAGACU